rnacentral:misc_RNA from 1 species
GAAGGAUCAUUGCACACACAAGUUGCAGCCAACCCACGGCGAACGAACACAUUGUCCCCCUCGGUGGGUCGCGGCGCCUCGCGGCGGCGCGGCCGGCCAACUCCCUUCGUCGCGAACUCGCGGCGUCGGGUUCUCACGCGAUGCCUUCACCUUGACCGAACGGCUGAGUCCCUUUACUUGAUAGGAGCGGUCGCGCGCCCCCCUUGGCUUGUGGGGCUUGUGCCUCGCUUGCGAAGGGGAUCGGCGCCGGCUACCUUGCGAGUUGAAACGUAACCGAAAACACAACUCUCAGCAACGGAUAUCUUGGCUCUUGCAACGAUGAAGAACGCAGCGAAAUGCGAUACGUAGUGUGAAUUGCAGAAUUCCGCGAAUCAUCGAGUCUUUGAACGCAAGUUGCGCCCGAGGCUUGUCCAAGGGCAUUUCCGCUAGAGCGUCACCGCGCCCCCACCGAUCCACUCCCGCCGGGAGUCUUUAAGGUCGAGUGAAAGUGGCCAUCCCGGAUGGUGGGCCUUCUGACCGACUCGCUCGCGCUUGGAAGGAAGGCCUUAGCCUUAAUGAAGGGUUGGCUGAAAUGGAGGGAAUCGGGCCGCCGUGGUGACACAGUCCGCGAUCGGGUGAUUUUCGGGCUCUUCCGGGAGCCCGGGAUUUUUCUAAGUGCGUGGCUGCGUCCCCCAGUUGGUCGUGGGUUACCUCAUGCAGGUCGAGCGCGCCCCCGCGGCGCGCGUCACGCAUCAGACCUCUAAUCGGAAAAGACUACGCGCUGAGU